UGCGUAGGCGGUGCUCACAAGUCCGUUGUGAAAGCCCCGGGCUUAACCUGGGAACGGCAGUGGAAACUAGAGCACUUGAAUGUGGCAGAGGGGGGUGGAAUUCCACGUGUAGCAGUGAAAUGCGUAGAGAUGUGGAGGAACACCGAUGGCGAAGGCAGCCCCCUGGGCCAGCAUUGACGCUGAGGGCACGAAAGCGUGGGAGCAAACA
rnacentral:rRNA from 1 species